GCACUGGGAGGCGGACUGGACUUGUAUAACAGGAAUGCAGCAGAGUGAUCACCUGUGGGUGAGGAACACAUCUAUGAUCUCCAGAGAGGUUUUUUCAAAACCAACAUGGAUGAUGAUGCCACCCAAUCGAAAAUUAUCCCACAUUAAAUCAAGGAUAUUCACUAUGGAACUUAAGAUCAGCCUCAUCGUCUUCAUUCCCAUGAUGGACUCUACCUUCCCGGCUGCCCCUUCCUCGCUCAGGCUUUUGACCAGCACCCCGGAUUUGGUGUCUUCCUCGCUGAUGGCGAUGCCCAGUCC